AUUGAACGCUGGCGGCAGGCCUAACACAUGCAAGUCGAGCGGGGUUUUCGGACCUAGCGGCGGACGGGUGAGUAAUGCGUAGGAAGCUACCCGAUAGAGGGGGAUACCAGUUGGAAACGACUGUUAAUACCGCAUAAUGUCUACGGACCAAAGUGUGGGACCUUCGGGCCACAUGCUAUCGGAUGCGCCUACGUGGGAUUAGCUAGUUGGUGGGGUAAUGGCUCACCAAGGCGACGAUCCCUAGCUGGUUUGAGAGGAUGAUCAGCCACACUGGAACUGGGACACGGCCCAGACUCCUACGGGAGGCAGCAGUGGGGAAUAUUGGACAAUGGGCGCAAGCCUGAUCCAGCCAUGCCGCGUGUGUGAAGAAGGCCUUCGGGUUGUAAAGCACUUUCAGUAGGGAGGAAGGGUGUUGUGUUAAUAGCACAGCAUUUUGACGUUACCUACAGAAGAAGCACCGGCUAACUCUGUGCCAGCCGCCGCCGUAACAC
rnacentral:rRNA from 1 species